GGGAUUGCAGUGGCAAAGCUAGGCUAGGUCUUGGAGGCUGGUGUAAGGCGAAGCGGGUGAAGGCAGGAGGCUGAUGGAGAGACUGGGGGGAAGAAAAGCCGAAAUGGAUUCACGGUGCCUUGGAUGGAGGACGAGAGGGGAAUUGCAAGCUCCUUCAACUCGUUCUGUCCGGUGAGAAGUGAUCAAGCUUGGGCUGACAAGAGGCUCAGGAAGCCCUCACGUUCUUUCGCUUUUUUACCUGCCAAUCAAACCGCUACAAGACAACACCCUGAUCUGGCAUGGACAUCGCGGGUCCAAGCCUGUAGUCACAAAUCGGAUAUCUCUGCAGCUGAUAACAAGCAAAAGAGAAGCCAGGCAACAGCCAUAUUAAAGAAGAAAACAAUCAACUCUGAGGAUGCCACCCUGAAAGUUUUAUUUUCUCCAGGAAAGUAGAGUUCUCUUUGAGAGUUCUAGCCUGUGAACUCAGUAUGUAAAUGUGGUCAUCAAGCAAGACGGAGCCGCCAAGAGGGAAGAUUUUGAAGGUUUCUCUUUCCUAAAACCCUUCCCAGCAUUCCUUCUUGGGGGGGGGGUGCUUUCCUCGAAGUUCUCCCCUUUCCCCAGCCCUGUUGACUGUGGUCCCCGAGCAACACGGCAGUAGCUAAACAAGCUGUACUGUGAAGCUGUUGAGCUGGUAUUUCAUCUGAAUCCUUUGUAAAAAUUAGAUUUUAAGUAGGGGUGAGUGUCCUUUUGGGAGAGGGGACAAGGGUGAGGGGAAGAAGAGGGGGAGGGGAUGAGCAGUUUAUAUACAUAUAUACUCUUUGUGUUUGAAGGCCUCUGUGUCUUGGCUUCUCACUAUGUUAAAUCCCUAUUAUAAAACUUAUCUUCCCAAAGCCUAUUAUAGUAUUCUGAGAACAAAUUGGACCAUGAAUAACUUAGUUGGAAGUGUAGAUUAUUUUCUACUCAGGGAAAGUUAGAGAUGACAACAGCUUAACUAAAAGAGUAGUGAUUAAUCUUAAAUAGAUGGAUUUCAAAGUUUCACUCUUGAUAGAGAGUACCUUUGAUAUUUCCCCUCUUCAGACUCAUGUUUCCACUUCCUUUGUAUUAAGAAUUGUCCUAGUGAUUACACUGUCCACCUAAUACAGCAUGACUCUGACUAUAGAUCUUUUUCUUACAGGUUGUUAAUCUGUCAGAGAGGUGAGCAGAAAGACACUUUACUUCCUAAUGAUUAAAUAUAUGGUCCCAAAGUGGUACCUGUGCUUAGACAUCAAACUCUCUGGGAGAAAUAAUAUCUGGCAUAAAUCAAAAUUUCUCAAUUAGAUAAAAAUUAUUAUUUAAAAACACCUUCAAUUUGUUUAGUGCCCUACAGUUUACAGAACACUUCUCAAUUCAUGAUUUUGUUCGAUCCUUAGAAGACUGUUAUGAUAUCAACAAAUAGCAUUAAUCUCAUUUUACCAAAGGAGGAAGCUGAGUCGCUUGCACGCUGUGAUCCAGCUGAUAAAUGGAAGAACUGCGGUACCAACUCAGAUUUUAUGGCUUCUGUUUUAAGUGACUAACCUGUAGCAAUAGGCAUCUAAAUUCCUUUUGUGUUCUACAUGCCCGAAAAUCAAGAUUUUGCAUUAAGGAGCAAAGUUUUUAUAUCUCGCAGAUACAGAAGUCAAAAGACCUGAUGGAAAAAAAUUCUAUUCACUUAAAAGUCAAUGUCAUGAAUCAGUGUUUUCCCUUAUGUGUACAUGCACAUGUGUGUGUGUGUGUCAAUAGUCUUUCAGAGGUGAAAGUCUUAAUUUCUAAAAGCCAAACAUGGGCAGCCCUAUAUAAAUUAAUAACUGCCUGGAAUUUUUUAAAUGUCCUUGAAAACCAUUAAUUGUUUCAAAAUAGAAUGUAACCACAUAUAAGCCUUUAGAAGGCUGUUUGGCCUACAAAGUGCUCGAGAGCAUGGCAUCGAUCAAGUUCUAGAGUGUUAUAAGUGAGGUUUCCCUUUUCUUCAGCUUUUUUGAGAUAAAACUGACAAAAUUGGAAGAUAUUUAAAGUAUAUAUCUUGAUGAUUAGAUAAACAUAAACAUCUCGAAAGUAUUCCUCCUGUCUGCUUAGUUAACACAUCGGUCACUUCACGUUUGUCUUUUUUUUUUUUUUUUUUUUGCUGAGAACAUUUAAGUUUUAUUCUCUCUCUCUCUUUUUUAAAGAUUUUAUUUAUUUAUGUGUCAGAGAGAGAGAGCACAAGCAGGGGGAGUGGGAGGCAGAGGGAGAGGGAGAGGGAGAAGCAGGCUCCCCACCGAGCAAGGAACCUGAUGUGGGACUUGAUUCCAGGAUCCUGGGAUCAUGACCUGAGCCAAAGGCAGAUGUUUAACCUUAACUGACUGAGCCACCCAGGCGUCUCUAAGUUUUGCUCUCUUAACAAAUUUCAAUUAUUCAUUAAUGUGUUACCAAUUAUAGUCACUACGUUAACCAUGAGAUCCUCAGACCGUAUGCAUCUGGUAGCUGAAAAUUUCUACCCUUUUACCAACCUCUUCCUAAUUCCCUUACUCCCCAGCCUCUGCCCUUCUAGUUUUAUAGACCCGUAUCUUUUAACAUCUUAGCAAGUUGGAUAAACAAAACUGUAUAGGACUUCUUUUGUUUCUCUUUAGUUAUUACUCUUCGUAUUAAAAAAAAAGUUUGCAAAAUACUCUAGAAAUAAUAAAGAAGAUGUUUAGUUAACUUGCUAUUGAUGUAAUCUAUCUAAACAAACAGAAAUCAACAAAUACAAAAGGAUACUGCCAUGUGAUUCUUCUUAGGUUUUUAUUUAUUUAUUUAUUUGACAGAGAUAGAGACAGCCAGCGAGAGAGGGAACACAAGCAGGGGGAGUGGGAGAGGAAGAAGCAGGCUCAUAGCGGAGGAGCCUGAGGUGGGGCUCGAUCCCAUAACGCCAGGAUCACGCCCUGAGCCCAAGGCAGACGCUUAACCGCUAUACCACCCAGGCGCCCCUCUUCUUAGGUUUUUAAUUACAUUGUUUUAAUCAUGUAAUGAAGGCAGUGUGGAUGUUAAUACGGAAAUUAUUUGUUUAUUUCUUGAAUUGUAUGCACUUAAAUUAGUCAUUUUAUAUAUACUUAAAUAAGGUUUUUGUCCUUAAAUUAUGCUGGCAGCCAGACAAAUCCAGACAAGCUUUUUGGGAUUAGAUAACAUGAAAAAGUAUCCAGAAAAGGAAAAGCAACUGUUCUAAAUAGAUGUUGCGUUUUCCAGUUUGUAUCAAUAAUGACAUAUGUGAUAACCUGUCUUGUGCUAAGGUUUGUCAAUUAAAACGUGACAUAUAGACCCAAGAUUACCCGUUUGACUUGGAGGUAGAUGCUCAAACCCCCAAAGUCAAACUUCUGUCUUCUCUACUAAUAUGCAAAUUAAUAAAUGACAAAAUAAGGACUCGCACGUUAGCACUAAUGUGUUUGUUUAGAUGCCUUUUGCAGUUUUUAAGUUUCUUAUUUUAUUACCAGUUUCAUUUAGUUUGUUCAUGUGUGUCUUCCACAUCUAUCACUGUCCUAACAGGCUUCCUUCCUCCUACUUCUCCACCCCUCCUUCCUCCCUCCCUCCUUUCCUUCUUGUCUUCUUUUCUCUCUCCUCCCUCCUUUCCUCUUUUCCUUCCUUCCCCCUCCUUGUGUAACUCCUCGGUGUUUGGGUAAUUUUGUUUUAAAAUGUACAGCAGCUUGGGCCUUAAGGGGCUUAUCUAAUGCAGUCCGAUGCCAAACUGAUAACUCUGCACAGGAAACAUUGACUUCAGUUAAACUUACAACAAGUCGGAGAAUCCUGAAGUUUAAUAUCAAUAGUUCUCUGACAACCAAAAUUCAAUGCUGAAGCAUCAACUUUUAAUGUCAUGGAUUCUGGCAAUUUUCCUCUGGUGUUGUCUUGAUGUAGUCUUUCUAAGUCAUUUAAGCUAUCAGGU
ensembl:lncRNA